rfam:Pan troglodytes isolate Yerkes chimp pedigree #C0471 (Clint) chromosome 3, whole genome shotgun sequence.
CUAAUGACUUUUCUUAAAGUCAUUUUAUAUACAAAAUAAAAUGAGCU